AGCGACGUGUGGCGUAUCUGCUUUGUUUUGACUUCUUUCCAGACACAUUUUAGUUUGCAUGAGUAUUUGAAGGUCGGAUCAGACAGGAUUUACAGCACAAUGGCACCUCACACCACUUCACCAAUUCCGGUGCCCAGUUAGCCUUGGAGCCAACAGGUGAGCCUUUUUGGACCUGGAUUCCAACUAUUGGUGUCUGCAGAAGCAAAGGCAGCCUGGAGGGAGCUGACCAGGACUGCCUGUGUGACCUUUGGUUGACCUUGGGCUCUGUUCUAUGCUGUGUGAAACUUGAGCCUCAUAGAAAACCACAAGUCGUUUCCAGCAAGCAGCCAGAAGCAACUGCAGACUAAGAAGGAGCUUUCACAGGGAUGUGCACCCUCUCUUUCAUCUGCCUACAACUGCACAGGAUUCUAAGUGAGAACUGCCCGUCUGAACCCCGUAGAGAAAGCACCAAAAACAACUGAUAAUUUCAAUUAUGAGCAUAUGUGGAACUGACAUAUGCAGAAUCUUGGGGGUUUUGUUUUUGUGUUUGUGUGUUUGUUUGUUUGUUUGAGACAGAGUUUCUCUGUAGCUUUGGAGUCUGUCUUAGAACUUACUCUGUAGACCA